AUUCUUAGCCGAAAGGGUUUGUCCAAACGUUUGGUAGAUACGCUACUUAGUAGCAGAAAAGAGGUCACAAGGGCCAUCUAUUUCAAGACUUGGAAGGUUUUCAAUUCUUGGUGUGAAGGUAGAAAUUAUUCUCCUUUGAAUACUUGUUCCGUCUUGGAGUUUUUACAAGACGGUAUGGAUAAGGGUCUGGCAGCCAGCACCUUGAAGGCACAGGUGGCGGCUUUGUCAGUGUUUCUAGAGAGACGUUUAUCUCUAGAGCCCUAUGUCAUCAGAUUUUUUAAGGCCUUAGCCAGGGCUAGGCCUUCCCCGUUUAAAUUUUUCCCCAAGUGGGAUUUAUCAGUGGUCCUGGGGGGUUUGACUCGAAAACCCUUCGAACCACUGGUGGACGCCUCUGUAAAGUUUCUAACUUUAAAAUUGGUGCUUUUGGUGGCGGUCACCUCAGCAAGGAGGAUUAGCGAGCUUCAGGCGCUUUCCGUUUUGGAGCCUUUUUUGUCAAUCUUCCCUGAUAGGGUAGUAUUAAGAACUGAUCCGAGUUUUCUUCCGAAGGUAGUGUCAGUUUUUCAUAGGACGCAGGAAAUAGUGUUACCUACCUUUUGUCCAACUCCUUCUUGUCCGAAGGAGAGGGAAUUCCAUUCCUUAGAUGUCAGGAGAUGCAUUAGACGCUAUCUAGAGGUCUCUAGCGAGUACAGAAAGGCGAAUUCGCUUUUCGUUCUGUUUUCAGCAUCCCGCAAGGGGCAUGGGGCUUCCAAAAGUACUCUGGCUAGAUGGUUACGCAUGGCUAUCCAUGAGGCAUACAAAGCUAAAGGUUUGGAUCCCCCUCCGGGAGUAAUGGCCCAUUCUACUAGGGCGGUGGCAACUUCCUGGGCAGAACGGGCUGGAGCUUCACCAGAACACAUCUGUAAAGCGGCAACGUGGACGAGCUUUUCCACCUUUGCUCGUCAUUAUAGGAUGGAUUUGCUCUCUGUGUCAGAGCAGUCUUUUGGCAGGAAGGUCCUGCAAGCGGUGGUCCCACCCUAGA